GCCAAUAUUUGUAUUUUUAGUACAGACAGGUUUCACCAUGUUGGACAGGCUGGUCUCAAACUCCUGAGCUUCAGUGAUCUGCCUUCCUCGGCCUCCCAAAGUUCUGAGAUUUACUCCUGGUCGAGUUUAAAAUUUAAAAAUUAUCUUGCCAAGUUUUCUGCACUGUGAUUUAUGCAAGAAUGAUACAGCUGAGUCACUAGCUACAAUAUCAGGGAGUAUCUUCCUGCUGCAGAGGAAAGGGAACACGUCAUGCUCUUUGAGUCACAAACCUUCUAAUCAUCACCUGUC
rnacentral:lncRNA from 1 species